UCGAUUAGAUACCCCCGUAGUCCUAGCCGUAAACGAUACUCGCUAGGUGUCGGCCACGGUGCGACCGUCGUCGGUGCCGUAGGGAAGCCGUGAAGCGAGCCACCUGGGAAGUACGGCCGCAAGGCUGAAACUUAAAGGAAUUGGCGGGGGAGCACCACAACGGGUGGAGCUUGCGGUUUAAUUGGAUUCAACGCCGGAAAUCUUACCGGGACCGACAGCAAUAUGAAGGCCAGGCUGAAGACUUUGCCGGAUUAGCUGAGAGGUGGUGCAUGGCA
rnacentral:rRNA from 1 species